rnacentral:rRNA from 1 species
ACACUCCUACGGGAGGCAGCAGUGGGGAAUAUUGCACAAUGGGCGCAAGCCUGAUGCAGCCAUGCCGCGUGUAUGAAGAAGGCCUUCGGGUUGUAAAGUACUUUCAGCGGGGAGGAAGGCAAUACGGUUAAUAACCGUGUUGAUUGACGUUACCCGCAGAAGAAGCACCGGCUAACUCCGUGCCAGCAGCCGCGGUAAUACGGAGGGUGCAAGCGUUAAUCGGAAUUACUGGGCGUAAAGCGCACGCAGGCGGUCUGUCAAGUCGGAUGUGAAAUCCCCGGGCUCAACCUGGGAACUGCAUUCGAAACUGGCAGGCUUGAGUCUUGUAGAGGGGGGUAGAAUUCCAGGUGUAGCGGUGAAAUGCGUAGAGAUCUGGAGGAAUACCGGUGGCGAAGGCGGCCCCCUGGACAAAGACUGACGCUCAGGUGCGAAAGCGUGGGGAGCAAACAGGAUUAGAUACCCGUGUAGUCC